GAUGAGCUUGAGGAGGAUCUAGUGGAGGAUGAGGAGGGGAAUGGCUUGGGGACAGUCAGUGGUGCUUCCUGGCGGGAUCAGCUGUCUGCAGAAGUGUCUGCCCUGGAGGAGGUCCCACCUGACCACAACUAUCUUGGGUGACAUGGCAGCCGUUGAUUGAGUCGGCCCUGAAAACCCUGUAGAUGGAUGAUGUGGUAAACAGUGGAAAUAUGCAUCACCCAACACACUCAAGACCACCCCUGAUGAUUUCCCACUGACAGAGGAUACCAGGUCUAGACCCCUGUAUGUCAGGAUGAACCUGCAUGUUCCUGUGCUGGACAGGUUUUUCAACCAGGAGGACACACGUCCAGAAGAUGAG